rnacentral:rRNA from 1 species
AUUGAACGCUGGCGGCAGGCUUAACACAUGCAAGUCGAGCGGGGACUUCGGUCCUAGCGGCGAACGGGUGAGGAAUGCUUGGGAAUCUGCCCAGUAGUGGGGGAUAACGUUUCGAAAGGAACGCUAAUACCGCAUACGUCCUACGGGAGAAAGGGGGGGAUCUUCGGACCUCCCGCUAUUGGAUGAGCCCAAGUCGGAUUAGCUAGUUGGUGAGGUAAAGGCUCACCAAGGCGACGAUCCGUAGCUGGUCUGAGAGGAUGAUCAGCCACACUGGAACUGCGACACGGUCCAGACUCCUACGGGAGGCAGCAGUGGGGAAUAUUGGACAAUGGGCGAAAGCCUGAUCCAGCCAUGCCGCGUGUGUGAAGAAGGCCUUCGGGUUGUAAAGCACUUUAAGCGAGGAGGAAUGGCUCUUGGUUAAUAACCUUGAGCAGUGACGUUACUCGCAGAAUAAGCACCGGCUAACUCUGUGCCAGCCGCCGCCGUAAUAC